UAAUUGUAUAUAGGUGGAGAAGCCAAGUAGAAGAUGAACAAGCAAGGAAAACGUGGUGAAGGGUUUGGCCACUAUAUUUUUUGCUCACUACUUAGGAAGUUUGUUAGGCAUUAAAGAUUGUCUUUAAACUUUCUUAUUUUGAUAAGAACUUAUUAUGUGGCUUCAUGUGAUGAAAGACCACUAUAUAGUGCCUAAAUGUAUAAAGGUAUUUAUAUUAGUCUCUAAAUGUAUAGAGCUAAUACUUUUUGUAUUAAACAUUAUGAAUGUUUGAACUAUCAUAUUAAUGUAAUGUGAAGUAUGCCUUUUUAAUAUACUAUUUCCUUAAAGUAGUGUUAUGAAUUGAAAAUUGUCUUGUUGUAUCCUAGAUGAGAUACAAGAGUUAUAUCACUUAAUUGUAAUGUGAUAAACCAAACUUUAGAUUUAUCAAUCAUGGAUAGAUCUCACAUGUAGGACAUAAAAGGAUACAAUGAAUCUUUAGAUUUGGUUCCAUUUGUCUACUUAUGAGUUCUAUAUGAAUUGACAAAAGUCUAGAGAAUCCUUUCUUGAAGAAAAGGAAGAUCACAUUAUAAUGAUAUAAGUAAUAAGAAAACGUUUCUUAUAUGGUUAUCACUUGAAACACAAUGAUCAAGAUCACUCUUGAUUCAAUUAGUAGUUUUGAACAAUUAAUUGGGCAUUCUUAAAAUUGUUUUAAAAAUGUCAAAUGUGUUAGUGAUUAAACCAAGAAAGAAGUGUCUAAAUCUAUAAAAGGUUUAAAGACUUUAGUCGCUUAAUAACAAGACAUUAACUUAGUGAAGAAUGAAACAAGUGAGCUUGAAAGGUUUUUAAAGCUACUACACAAUGUCUUCUACCAAUAUAAUCCACUUUUAUACAUUUUGAAUGUAUGAAAUAAUUUCUCAUUAAAGUCAUGAGAAAUAGUGGGAGGUGUGAAAAUGGAUAUAAACUUAAAUGUGAUUGGUUUACAGUUGUCUAAAGAAUAAUAGUACUUGACUAUUAUUAAGAGUUUGUAAUUUUAAUUGUUAAAAGGACUCAAGCUCUUUAAACGUUAAAAUUCUAUGUUGUGUAACAUUUAAAGAAUAGUCUUUGAAUGUUGGUUUCGUCAACCUAGCAUAAAAUGGUUAUAUGUUGGGAGUUGUCCAUCAUUCUCUUUUAUGAGAACAUGCUAAUAACAAAGCAUAUGGACAAGUUGAUGAAACAAAAGGGAAUAAGUUUCAAAAUGAGUCACAAUAUAUGAUUUAACAACAAGACAAUCCAAAUUCAACAUCUCAUGUAACUAUAUUGCUCUAUGUAAUUUUGAUAAAGAAUUAUAUCAACCACCUAGAAGGAAUGGUUGAGUUUCUAUAUCCUUAGUAGGAGCCAUGCUUCCACUAAAGACUUAGAUAAUUCUUAUAUGACUACAUUAGAGGUCUUAGUAUGACUAAAACUUGAAAUAUGGUGUAUGACAC
rnacentral:lncRNA from 1 species